rnacentral:rRNA from 1 species
CCUGGAGCUAUAUUAUUAUUGGCCAUGACUUCAUCAGAUCACAUAAAUUAAGAAUAGUUGGACCUGGUCAGUACUUGGAUCGGAAACCUCCAAGGAAAAAGGAGUCAACGGAA